rnacentral:misc_RNA from 1 species
UUUCCGUAGGUGAACCUGCGGAAGGAUCAUUCAUGAUAAAGUGUUUUAUGGCACUUUUUAAAAAUCCAUAUCCACCUUGUGUGCAAUGUUAGAUCUCGUCAAUCUUGGCGAGAUUUUUAUACAUCAACUCAUUCUUCAACUAAUUUGUCUGAAAAAUAUUAUGAAUACUUAAUUCAAAAUACAACUUUCAACAACGGAUCUCUUGGCUCUC